GACGGAGGGUGCAAGCGUUAUGCGGAAUCACUGGGUUUAAAGGGUGCGUAGGCGGAUUCAAAAGUCAGAGGUGAAAGCCCGUGGCUCAACCAUGGAAUUGCCUUUGAUACUGUUAAGCUCGAGUGAGGCUGAGGUGUGCGGAAUUUAGCGUGUAGCGGUGAAAUGCGUAGAUAUGCGAUAGAACACCGGUGGCGAAGGCAGCUGACUGGGCCUUUUCUGACGCUGAGGCACGAAAGCGUGGGGAGCGAACAGG
rnacentral:rRNA from 1 species